rnacentral:rRNA from 1 species
UACAGAGGUCUCAAGCGUUGUUCGGAUUCAUUGGGCGUAAAGGGUGCGUAGGCGGCGCGGUAAGUCGGGUGUGAAAUCUCGGGGCUUAACUCCGAAACUGCAUUCGAUACUGCCGUGCUUGAGGACUGGAGAGGAGACUGGAAUUUACGGUGUAGCGGUGAAAUGCGUAGAUAUCGUAAGGAAGACCAGUGGCGAAGGCGGGUCUCUGGACAGUUCCUGACACUGAGGCACGAAGGCCAGGGGAGCAAAUGGG